UUUCACAUUCCUUUCUUUUUUAGGUUUGCACCAAAUCCCAUUCGAACUCUAUAGUUAAACGUGCUUGGGCAAGAGUAGUACUAGGAUGGCUGACCUCCUGGAAGUCCUCGUGUUACAC
rnacentral:rRNA from 2 species